rnacentral:rRNA from 1 species
UACGGGGGGAGCAAGCGUUGUCCGGAAUCAUUGGGCGUAAAGCGCGCGUAGGCGGCCCGGUAAGUCCGUUGUGAAAGUCAAAGGCUCAACCUUUGAACGCCGAUGGAUACUGCCGGGCUAGAGUCCGGAAGAGGCGAGUGGAAUUCCUGGUGUAGCGGUGGAAUGCGCAGAUAUCAGGAGGAACACCAAUAGCGAAGGCAGCUCGCUGGGACGGUACUGACGCUGAGGCGCGAAAGCGUGGGGAGCGAACAGG